GAAAUGCAUUUAUAGAAACUUAAAAAAGUUAAAAAACAAAGACUGCAAUGUUGUGUGAAAGCUAUAAAUUUAUUGGAAUUAUAAAUCAAAAUUUAAAAGAUUAUAACAAGCUAGGACUAAAAAGAGAACAGGACAAUAUUUCUAUUUAUACGGUAAUAUAGUUGAUAAUGCACUUUGAUUUUCGUAGAAAUGACAUGACAAUUUAAAGCGUAGACAUUUCAGUCAGUCAGAAAAAUUCCGUUCAAAUGUCGAAACAUUUUGCAGUUAAACUCUUGACAUCGAAGUGUGUAACAUGAUUAAAGAGAUAAACUGAUGAAAAUAUCAAAAUUAUAGGUUAAUCAUCGAUUUAAAAAAAAAAAUAUCGGAAUGAAUACGACCUUUCGCAACUUUUAUAUAUGAAGUGCUGAGAAUCACACGUAAAACAGUAAAUAGACUAGACAUUAUAAAUGUUGAAAUUUAAACAGGAUUUUUGUUUGAGUUAAUCUAAGAAAGCAGUUAUCGCUGGGGUAAAUAUUUUAUAAUGUAUUUAUCCCAGUGUAUUCGAAUAUUAAUUCGAAUAGCGAUUCUAAAAAGAGAACGAGCAACGACUAGAAAGAGAGAAUCAAUCACAGGCGUAGAACAAAGUGUCUCUAAAGAGAAGGAGCUAAUUGGUCAGACGUGUGAGAAAAGUGACCAAUAUGCGAUAGUAGAGUUAAAAACAAAAGUAUAUAUAAUUAACAAGAUAGAUUUACCGGUUUUCAUAUUUUUUAUAUUUUUCGGGAAAAAAGUUUUAAAUUCAUC
rnacentral:lncRNA from 1 species